GAUGAACGCUGGCGGCGUGCCUAAUACAUGCAAGUCGAGCGAACAGAUGAGGAGCUUGCUCCUCUGACGUUAGCGGCGGACGGGUGAGUAACACGUGGAUAACCUACCUAUAAGACUGGGAUAACUUCGGGAAACCGGAGCUAAUACCGGAUAAUAUAUUGAACCGCAUGGUUCAAUAGUGAAAGACGGUUUUGCUGUCACUUAUAGAUGGAUCCGCGCCGCAUUAGCUAGUUGGUAAGGUAACGGCUUACCAAGGCAACGAUGCGUAGCCGACCUGAGAGGGUGAUCGGCCACACUGGAACUGAGACACGGUCCAGACUCCUACGGGAGGCAGCAGUAGCGAAUCUUCCGCAAUGGGCGAAAGCCUGACGGAGCAACGCCGCGUGAGUGAUGAAGGUCUUCGGAUCGUAAAACUCUGUUAUUAGGGAAGAACAAAUGUGUAAGUAACUAUGCACGUCUUGACGGUACCUAAUCAGAAAGCCCCGGCUAACUACGUG
rnacentral:rRNA from 1 species